rnacentral:misc_RNA from 1 species
GAUGAAGAACGUAGCGAAAUGCGAUAAGUAAUGUGAAUUGCAGAAUUCAGUGAAUCAUCGAAUCUUUGAACGCACAUUGCGCCCCCUGGUAUUCCGGGGGGCAUGCCUGUCCGAGCGUCAUUACAACCCUCAAGCUCAGCUUGGUAUUGGGCCCCGCCGACCCGGCGGGCCCUAAAGUCAGUGGCGGUGCCGUCCGGCUCCGAGCGUAGUAAUUCUUCUCGCUCUGGAGGUCCGGUCGUGUGCUCGCCAGCAACCCCCAAUUUUUUUCGGGUUGACCUCGGAUCAGGUAGGGAUACCCGCUGAACUUAAGCAUAUCAAUAAGCGGAGGA